CAGUCGCCGCGGGAAUACGUAGGGUGCAAGCGUUAAUCGGAAUUACUGGGCGUAAAGCGUGCGCAGGCGGUUAUAUAAGACAGAUGUGAAAUCCCCGGGCUCAACCUGGGAACUGCAUUUGUGACUGUAUAGCUAGAGUACGGCAGAGGGGGAUGGAAUUCCGCGUGUAGCAGUGAAAUGCGUAGAUAUGCGGAGGAACACCGAUGGCGAAGGCAAUCCCCUGGGCCUGUACUGACGCUCGUGCACGAAAGCGUGGGGAGCAAACAGGAUUAGAUACCCGAGUAGUCCCUGUCUCUUAUAC
rnacentral:rRNA from 1 species